rnacentral:tRNA from 1 species
AUUUAAAUAGUUUAAUAAAAAAUAUUGAUUUGUGGUGUCAAUGAUAUGAAUAAAUUUCAUUUUAAAUC